rnacentral:misc_RNA from 1 species
UAAGCAGAAGGUUUAGAUAUAUGUUUAAACUUAUGAAACUUAAAGAACGUGAAUUUUAAAGAGGCUUUAUGAAGAAAGUAUUUUAAGCUUUUCCAGUAAUUUAAGAUGAUACCGGGGAAGGUUUUCCGGUUUAUCCCGGAGGGCUUGUAGCUCAGUUGGUUAGAGCGCGCGCUUGAUAAGCGUGAGGUCGGAGGUUCAAGUCCUCCCAGGCCCACCAAUUUAUGCUCGCUUUUUUCUUGUUUAAGAGUAUGAAGCUUAUUAAAGCCUCUACAAUCUUUUUUCCUUGUUAAGGAUUUAAUUUUAUUAUCUAAGGAUUGUUUAGUGCAUUUAUUCCGUUAAAUUUGUCAAAGAGGAUUUUAAGAUGUCUUCAAAGAUGUAGACAAAUUUGAAUGAUAGGAAUCGA